rfam:Triticum aestivum genome assembly, contig: Triticum_aestivum_CS42_TGACv1_scaffold_146374_2BS
AUACUACUCCCUCCGUUCUAAAAUUCUUGUCUUCAAUUUAUCUAGAUACAAAUGUAUCUAACAUUAAGAUGUGACUAGAUACAUUCAUAUGUAGACAAAUUUAAAACAAGAAUUUUGGUACGGAGGAAGUAGAAA